rnacentral:rRNA from 1 species
UACGGGGGGGGGCAAGCGUUGUUCGGAAUUACUGGGCGUAAAGGGCGCGUAGGCGGCCUUCUAAGUCGGACGUGAAAUCCCUCGGCUUAACCGAGGAACUGCGUCCGAUACUGAAAGGCUUGAAUCCGGGAGAGGGAUGCGGAAUUCCAGGUGUAGCGGUGAAAUGCGUAGAUAUCUGGAGGAACGCCGGUGGCGAAGGCGGCAUCCUGGACCGGCAUUGACGCUGAGGCGCGAAAGCCAGGGGAGCAAAGCGGG